UUAUAGCCCAGAUGAAAGAGAAAAGCCCGGAGCUAAAAAAACUAAUUUUUCUUGCCAGAAAACAGCGACCAGCGGAAGCUCGUUUUAUGGUUAGAAAAAUAGUUUUUUUAGCGUCCCGAAGCUUCGGGAUGUAACGUACAGCCGGAAAAAGC
rnacentral:misc_RNA from 1 species